UCAUGAAUAAAAUCAGGGACAAAUCUUUUGCUACUACUCAUUUCAAAGCAAUUGUAGCCUGCUCAGCCGGAAUUGUGUAACAGUGGCAGUAUACUAAGUCAGGUAUAAGUGACAUUUACUUUAGUUACGACCAUAUGCAGUUGACUUAAGACCAUAUUAGAACGCACGCAGGAUGGAUGGCACACAAAUGAUGGGCUUUCAAGUUUGUAAACAUCCAAUGUUUUGUUCACUACAACACUGCCGAAACUAAUCUAUGGGCCUAGGUAGCUUGACUCUAAACUAGCGUGUCUGCAGCAAGCUAAAACUAGGAACAUUUAGCUGCUGGUAGUAGCCUCCCUGGAUGGGACAACUUGGCUUAACUGUGCAAGUUAGGCUUAGGAAAUAUCUAGGUAGCGUAGCUAUGUCUGGUUAGUUAACAUCGUUAUAUUGUCAAAGGUGGCCCUUUUUUUUAAAGUGAGAGUGCAACGUUUACACAUCCUCGAAAUCGUGCGAAACAGCUUGGUAGCAUAACUAGCCAGUUAGCCGUGCAUUGUUACCUUGUACAUCGUAGCGCAUCGUUUUAGCAGCACUCUUAUCUAAAACGCUGGAAGUGAACUUAGACAGCCAACUACAUUUUCUGACGUCUAGCUUACCACUACCCAUUUUGGAAACUGUGAACUAGUUCGCUAUAAUAUUUAAGCAGCAGCAGGGCUUCCAGGAUCAACUGCCUGGACGUAAACUGGGGCCGUACCUCUGACCACAAAGCCCCAGCCUACUGCAUCUCCCAUCACCUAAAAUAUAAAUCCACUACUAUGAGGGGACUGUAGAAAGAAGAUACAGAUUCAUUCAAGAGUUCAGACAGGCGGCGCCGGCGGCGGAAGUUGAUGCAGAACUUAUACAAUAACCCACUGUCAAAGAAGUUGUGUUUCUUUGCCACUGAGGGAAGGGAAGAUGGAAAUUGGGAAGAGAGGGAGAAAAUAAUAUAUGUACAUUGUUUUAAACAAUAAGGCAUUAGGGGAUGUGGUAUAUAGCUAUUGUUCUUAGGCACGACACAAUGCAGAGUUUCUGAACAUAGCCUUUAGCAGUGGGAUGUUGGCCAUACACCAGUAAAACACUAGAGGUAUGUUAUUGCUUUUAUAAAUUACCAAUGCAAUUAGUAAAACAUUCAGAAGUAAUUGUUUGUUAUGAUCUUAUUAUGGUGUCAUAUACGAUGGCUUUCCACCCAUACGCAUUCAGGGUUCGAACAAGGUGAUAUUGAUGAAAGGAAUUUGAAUAGACUAUCAAGUGUAAAUGUUAUGAGACAAAGGUUACACGGUAACAUCUCUUACCAUGCUGAAU